GACGAACGCUGGCGGCGUGCUUAACACAUGCAAGUCGAACGGAAAGGCCCUGCUUUUGUGGGGUGCUCGAGUGGCGAACGGGUGAGUAACACGUGAGUAACCUGCCCUUGACUUUGGGAUAACUUCAGGAAACUGGGGCUAAUACCGGAUAGGAGCUCCUGCUGCAUGGUCGGGGUUGGAAAGUUUCGGCGGUUGGGGAUGGACUCGCGGCUUAUCAGCUUGUUGGUGGGGUAGUGGCUUACCAAGGCUUUGACGGGUAGCCGGCCUGAGAGGGUGACCGGCCACAUUGGGACUGAGAUACGGCCCAGACUCCUACGGGAGGCAGCAGUGGGGAAUAUUGCACAAUGGGCUGAAGCCUGAUGCAGCAACGCCGCGUGCGGGAUGACGGCCUUCGGGUUGUAAACCGCUUUCGCCUGUGACGAAGCGUGAGUGACGGUAAUGGGUAAAGAAGCACCGGCUAACUACGUG
rnacentral:rRNA from 1 species